rnacentral:rRNA from 1 species
GAUGAACGCUGGCGGCGUGCCUAAUACAUGCAAGUCGAGCGAACGGACGAGAAGCUUGCUUUUCUGAUGUUAGCGGCGGACGGGUGAGUAACACGUGGAUAACCUACCUAUAAGACUGGGAUAACUUCGGGAAACCGGAGCUAAUACCGGAUAAUAUUUUGAACCGCAUGGUUCAAAAGUGAAAGACGGUCUUGCUGUCACUUAUAGAUGGAUCCGCGCUGCAUUAGCUAGUUGGUAAGGUAACGGCUUACCAAGGCAACGAUGCAUAGCCGACCUGAGAGGGUGACCGGCCACACUGGAACUGAGACACGGUCCAGACUCCUACGGGAGGCAGCAGUAGGGAAUCUUCCACAAUGGGCGAAAGCCUGACGGAGCAACGCCGCGUGAGUGAUGAAGGUCUUCGGAUCGUAAAACUCUGUUAUUAGGGAAGAACAUAUGUGUAAGUAACUGUGCACAUCUUGACGGUACCUAAUCAGAAAGCCACGGCUAACUACGUG